UGUUCCCCGGCUAGGGCUCCGCCUUCGGGGACCUAGGUGAGGACAGGCAUUUCCUGCCCAAAUGUUGCAUUUCCCAAGACCACCCUGGCCCACCACGCCCCCAUCCUGGGCCUAUAAAAACCCAAGACCCUGGCGGGAAGACACAGAAGUGGUUGGGCGUCGUGAGGAACGCAUCGGCGGCAGAACACUCAAGCGGCUGGUUGUUGAGAGCACGCCAGCUGAAGAGCACCCCUGCACACUGGCAGGCCAUCCACAGGUGUCAGAAACUCAGCUCAGCUGGAAGAAACUUGAUGUACCAGGUAUCAGAGUAGCAAGUAAAGCCACAAGCCAAAAAUGAAAGAGAAUCUUUUAAGUGCUUAUCGUGAUGGUGUAAGUAAUUGUCCAAAAGAAACGCCGAUUCCUUCUGUUCCAUUUUUACCUGUGGAUUGUGGAUUGAAAUAACCAUUGGACCAUGAGGAGAGACUCUGAAGAGAGGCUAGUGAUAUGUGAUAUAAUACUCUUUUGUGACGUUGGACCAUGGCAGUGAGCCGCAGCUCCCAGUCAGCAAUGCGAUCCCAAGAAUAAACAACCGAUUCUUGACAGUGUCCUAUGUUGCCAGUCGAUUUUGUUCAACAGUAGGUACAUCUUUUGACUCUAUUUAGUGAUGUACUUAUUUUCAUCUGAAUUCACUGUGGUCCAGUCCAAACUCGUUGGCUACUUUAAAUAGUGGAAGUCUGGUGCAAGAUGCUCUACCCAUAGAGGCAAGUACACCCCACUCCCAAAUUAAAAAGAUUGACCUUAGCCAAACAUAACACGAGAGAGAGGCAGAAUCUCACUCUGUCACCCAGGAUGGAGUGUGGUGGCGUGAUCAUAGCUUACUGUAACCUCAAACUCCUGGGAUCAAGCAGUCCUCCCACCUCAGCCUCCAAAGUAGCUA
rnacentral:lncRNA from 1 species